CUCCAGCCCCUGACUGACGUGAAGUGGCCCCGUUCCAUCCUGCAGACAUGCACAGACACAGUCAAACAUCAUCAAACAUCAGUCUGUCAAAGAUUGGCUUCGAAUGAUCGGAAAUCCACUGUCACAGAUGCAGGCAUUGAUCGUGGUGGCAGGAGGCGGAGGGUGUCAUGGUGGGCGGGGCCUGCUGAAAGACGAAGACUUGACCUCUCACCAGGUGAGCACUAUUUAAUAUCAUCGCAAAUGUUUUAUUGUUGUGUGUGUGUGUGUGUGUGUGCUUGUGCUUGUGCCUGGGCAUGG
rnacentral:lncRNA from 1 species